CAAAAAACUGCAGGCAGCGUUCUGCUCAUGUGCUCUGAAUACUGAAAUUCAGACAGUCUCUUCCAAAAGGAAAAGUGUGUGCACACGCGCCCUGUGGGGAAGGAGGAACAGAGCGCAGCGCUCUACGGCAGAGCUCGCGUUGUCCGGAGAACCUUACCUUCCCAUCUGAGGUGGUGUUGAUCCUGUAGUGGUAAACACGUCCUUCGUACCUGAGCGAGAUGGAUAGCUGCCCUGGGCUGCUCUCGCUUUCACGAACCAGGAAGCUGCCGUUGAUGAGGCUGCUCAACAGCAUCCUAACCCAUCAGAUGAAGAACAUAAGAAACCUGGCACUAUCAUGGAAAAGAGGAAAAUCCCAGGGCCUUCCCAGCCUGCUACAUCAGAGCACCGCUGCAAACAUAGCAGUAGUUUUGGGGGGCUGAGCGUGCAUAAACGUGCCAAGUUAUUAAGCA